rnacentral:lncRNA from 1 species
AACAAAAUAGACUCUAGAGAGAGGUGAUCCAAUCUUAUCAUCUUAUCAUCCUAUUCUUCUUCUCCUUCUUUUGCUAUACGUGUUAGAGGAAGAGAGAGGAGAGGAAGAGAGGUGGUCCAAGGAGGCGAUCGAGGACGCAUGCGCACAUGAUUUUUUUUAUGCGUCGGAUUGGAGGUUAGUAUUUUAAUAUUAUAUUUGGUUGAUCUAGAUUUUCAAGGUGCAAUUUUUAUAAUGAUUUUAGAAGUAGAUAUUGGAUGGUAUUUUUGCGAAAUUGUUAGAAGUUGGAUUUCUGCAUGAUUUAGUUGUAAUGACCCGACCAACUAGCAAUAAUAACUCGUUGGGCCCAAACCACCGGCCCAAAAUGCUUAAGCUCAAUUAUUAUGUCUAACAUAGUCAAGCUUAUAUACCCCCACAUCCAACCAUAACUAUUCGCUAUCCGAUAUGAGAUUAUUGGGAUGUCACAUACUCCCUCCGUUUAGGGCCUGACGUUCUCGUCAGUCCUAAACACACAUACAGGCCAAGAUCACCAAGCAAUGUAAGUGUCACGCCUCGCCCCGAAACCACUACCCAUUUGGAACGGUUCGACCGCCUCGGCGGAUUGCCGAACGGACAGCACCUCCCCUGUCCGCCCAAGGCUCAACAACAAGAAUGUAUACAAGAAUUUACCCAGGAAGUUAAAUUCUAAACAUACACAUUCACAAGGGCACAAACAGUGCCAACACAACAAAGAGCAAGUAAUCCACAAGUAAAAACAAGUGAAAUAAAGAGAGUACUUUACUAACUAUUACAAUAGUUCAUUCUUUUCAUUUACAUCAUUUUUUUUAAAUGAAUACAUUUUUUCAUCUCCAAAAUACAUAGCUCUCCAAAUCCUCACCUACAAUGAAUCUCUCUCAAUACAUAGGUGAACUAAUGCAAAAAGGAAAGCUACUAUACUACCACGGUCUCACUGAUCGGGCGCGAUGCCCUUGCCGCGGUCCUCUCUCGACAACCUAUACCUACCACUGAAAAUAGAGUG